CCUGAUUUUUUCACUUCAUCUUCUCCAAUGUCUAAUUUUUUUUUCAGUUACAUUCUCAAUCAAUGAUGAUCUUAAAGCUAUUUUUAAGUGUUUCGUUCCACCUCCUUCUCUUAUAUAAAUAGCUACCUCUACACUUAAAUAAAAAACCUUCUUUAUAGCAGCUAUAUCCGGGACCAUGAAAUCGAUCGGAAAAUCUCUGUUCUCCACUGGAAAAUCAAUGCUUCUCCAACAGACUUUUCUCAGUUUUGCACUCUACAAGAGAAUCUCAAGAGCCGGCAGAUUACUCAAGGAAGUAUGGGAAUGCAAAUACCUAGACCUUUUUGAUUAUCUUCCUCUUACUGCCCUUAAGAAGAAUUUUAUGUUUGCUUAGAGGCCUUUCACUUUCUCUAAAUACACUUGAUAAUAUCCGGAACUUGGAUUGGCUACAGGAGGUGCCAAACUAAGGGCCAAUUGUGAUUUACUAUGGUCUGAUCCCCAUGAUCGAUGUGGGUUAUCUCCACGAGGUGGCGGUAUACAUUUGGAAAGCUCAAUUCAAUGACAACAAAGGACUCGAUAUCAUAUCAAGAGUCCAUCAGCUUCCCAUGGAAGGUUUUAAUUAGUGGCAGGUAUGUAUGUUCAUCUCGAUUGCUCAAGGCUCUAUCGAAGGAAAAGAAUGUGGUGACAGUGUUGCACCAAACUAUUGCUACUGGUAUGGAAACUUUGCAGCAAUUGUAGAGAUAAAGAGAGGAGCAAAAUUUCCUCCAGUUUGAUUCAGCUCCUCUACAAGACAAAAGAACACUGGUCCUAAAACCUAUACAAUGGCAUCUGCUCAGCUUCGAAAAGAGAAUCAGGCUGGGGUUUUCAAACACAACUGAGAUCUUUCCUUUAUGUACAUCUGGUAUAUUUCUAACCUCUAUAAUCUCCAAGAAAACCUGCAGGUUCUUUACAAGGAUCAAAAGUCUGAAUUAUAAACAAUAGGAUACCAUGAAGAAGCUACCUCAACUACUUCCAGCUCUUGAAAUUGGAUUAAAUUUAGGGAAUUCUCUUUUGCAGUUGAUUCGUUGGCAAAACAUCAGAAGCAUAAGGCAAAGUUGUGCGUGUGCAGGUAUAUUGCCUCUAUACAUUGCACUGGAUUUCCAGUAUCUUCUACCAGAUGUUUCCUUCCAUGAAGUGUUAGAAAACUUAGGAUCGAGUCUGCCUCGGUCAGAAUCUUUGUAAUCAUGUUCCAGCACCUUACCAAGAGCUUCUGCAAAUCAUCAUAGUAAGCUACCGGAUGGCGCUGAUGGUGUGUGCCAAAUAAGAUCAACAUCAUAAGUCGGAACAGGAAAACAUAUUCAAAUAUUCAUUUCAUGUCUACAAACAAGACUUUCAUCAAAUACAAGGAAAAAACAGAAACA